GACGAACGCUGGCGGCGUGCUUAACACAUGCAAGUCGAACGGAAAGGCCCUGCUUUUGUUGGUUUCUCGAUUGGCGAACGGGUGAGUAACACGUGAGUAACCUGCCCUUGUCUUUGGGAUAACUUCAGGAAACUGGGGCUAAUACCGGAUAGGAGCUCCUGCUGCAUGGUGGGGGUUGGAAAGUUUCGGCGGUUGGGGCUGGACUCGCUGCUUAUCAGCUUGUUUGUGGGGUAGUGGCUUACCAAGGCUUUGACGGGUAGCCGACAUGGGAGGGUGACCGGCGACAUGGGGACUGAGAGACGGAGCAGAAUCGAACGGGAGGCAGCAGGGGAGAAUAUUACAGAAUGAGCGGAAGGCUGAUGCAGAAACGCCGGGUGCGGGAUGACGGCCUUCGGGUUGUAAACAGAUUUGGAAUGUGACGAAGCGUGAGUGACGGUAAUGGGUAAAGAAGCACCGGCUAACUACGUG
rnacentral:rRNA from 1 species